rnacentral:rRNA from 1 species
GCGAGCGGAACCACAGAUUUACUUCGGUAAUGACGUUGGGAAAGCGAGCGGCGGAUGGGUGAGUAACACGUGGGGAACCUGCCCCUAAGUCUGGGAUACCAUUUGGAAACAGGUGCUAAUACCGGAUAAUAAAGCGGAUCGCAUGAUCAGCUUUUGAAAGGCGGCGUAAGCUGUCGCUAAGGGAUGGCCCCGCGGUGCAUUAGCUAGUUGGUAAGGUAACGGCUUACCAAGGCGACGAUGCAUAGCCGAGUUGAGAGACUGAUCGGCCACAUUGGGACUGAGACACGGCCCAAACUCCUAUGGGAGGCAGCAGUAGGGAAUCUUCCACAAUGGACGCAAGUCUGAUGGAGCAACGCCGCGUGAGUGAAGAAGGUUUUCGGAUCGUAAAGCUCUGUUGUUGGUGAAGAAGGAUAGAGGUAGUAACUGGCCUUUAUUUGACGGUAAUCAACCAGAAAGUCACGGCUAACUACGUGCCAGCAGCCGCGGUAAUACGUAGGUGGCAAGCGUUGUCCGGAUUUAUUGGGCGUAAAGCGAGCGCAGGCGGAAAAAUAAGUCUAAUGUGAAAGCCCUCGGCUUAACCGAGGAACUGCAUCGGAAACUGUUUUUCUUGAGUGCAGAAGAGGAGAGUGGAACUCCAUGUGUAGCGGUGGAAUGCGUAGAUAUAUGGAAGAACACCAGUGGCGAAGGCGGCUCUCUGGUCUGCAACUGACGCUGAGGCUCGAAAGCAUGGGUAGCGAACAGGAUUAGAUACCCUGGUAGUCCAUGCCGUAAACGAUGAGUGCUAAGUGUUGGGAGGUUUCCGCCUCUCAGUGCUGCAGCUAACGCAUUAAGCACUCCGCCUGGGGAGUACGACCGCAAGGUUGAAACUCA